rnacentral:lncRNA from 1 species
GACCACCAGCUCCAUGGAGGCCUUACAGACGCCUGUGCCUGCAUGACUCACGGGGAGCCAGAUCCUGUGGGUCCCUCUGCCUCCUCAGUCGAGGCUGGCAUGACAGGAAAGCCCUCAUUCUCUGAGGGCUGCUCCCUGAUCGGAGAGCAGGCUGUAUGGACUUCUCAGCAAAGCUUCUCUUUAUCAAGCUUCCAGGACUUAUCCCAAAAGAUGUGAAGACGCUCCCAUAAAAUAGAAAGAUCCCAGAAGAGGCUGGUCUCUGCAACUGACUCGAUCUAGACUUGAGGGACUAUGCUUACUUUCACCCUUUAAAGGGCUUGGGGUACCAGCCUGUGUUAUGAUCCCAAGCCCCUCCACUCAGGUAUACAGGCAACUAGAUAUGGUGACUAACCCUAGCAAACACUAAAACUCGAGAGUACCGUUACACAGGAGCAAUGACUCCUACCUUCACAUGUAAAGGAGAAAACAACAACAACAACAACAAUAAAAAACAAAAGAAGUUAAGAGAAAGCAAAGGGCUAGGUGGUGCAUGCCUUUAACUCCAGCACUGGGGAGGAAAAGAAAAAUUAGUCUCUCUGGAUUUGUUCAUAAACAAUCAGAGCAGGCCAGCACAUAGAGACUGAAAGAGGUGCCUAGUGGGCUUCACGCCAAUGUCAUGGUAUGAGACCCUCUCUCCCAUCACACAAGCACUAGAAAAAUAAAAAC